rnacentral:rRNA from 1 species
AGGACGAACGCUGGCGGCGUGCCUAAUACAUGCAAGUCGAACGGUCUUUCUAUGGAAGCUUGCUUCCACUGAGAAGAUAGUGGCGAACGGGUGAGUAACACGUGGGUAACCUGCCCAUAAGAGGGGGAUAACAUCCGGAAACGGGUGCUAAUACCGCAUAGUUUUCUUGAUCGCAUGAUUGAGAAAGGAAAGACGGCCUUUGUGCUGUCGCUUAUGGAUGGACCCGCGGCGUAUCAGUUAGUUGGUGAGGUAAUGGCUCACCAAGACGAUGAUACGUAGCCGACCUGAGAGGGUGAUCGGCCACAUUGGGACUGAGACACGGCCCAAACUCCUACGGGAGGCAGCAGUAGGGAAUCUUCCGCAAUGGACGAAAGUCUGACGGAGCAACGCCGCGUGAGUGAAGAAAAGGGUUUUCGGAUCGUAAAACUCUGUUGUCAGAGAAGAACAAGUUGGAGAGUAACUGCUCCAGCCUUGACGGUAUCUGACCAGAAAGCCACGGCUAACUACGUGCCAGCCGCCGC